ensembl:lncRNA
AGGCACAGGUCAGCGGUCACGGAAAGAGCAGGUCUGUGGGGCGGGCAGGGGCUGGGCCGCACCGAGUUCUCACAAGGCCGUGAGCAGGGAGGAAGCUGUGGAUAAUUUAUACGCUGUUUAACUAUCUUUUAAACAGCCAGUUUUUCUUGUACAGUGACUGGGCUUCCAUAAAACAGAGACAAGGCCUGCUAUUUGGCUCGGUUUUAGAGGGAAUGGCGCUGUAAAGUUAAUGCAGUGAGAAAUCUAUGGUGCUUUGGCAUUAAACCCAACACGGGAUGUAAAGAACCGAGGCUGCUCUAAGACUCGGCAGCAGACUAGGGGUCCAAUCAGAGCUGAAGCUGCCGGUUGUACCAUGGCCACAGCCAUGCAUGAUCCGAGCCACAUCUGAGACCCACACCACAGCUCACGGCAAUGCUGGAUCCUUAACCCACUGAGCAAGGCCAGGGAUGGAACCCACAUCCUCAAGAAUACGAGUCAGCCUGGACUAUAGGAGAACAUGCAUGGACGCCUCCCCAGAACACAAAGGAGAGAAACCUCUCAGCCCAGCGGGCACUGCAGCUCGGAGUUCCCAAUGCACCCUGGGAAUGCUGCCUAAGGAGCCGCUCAGCCAGUGAUCUCCAGGCCCAUAAGUGGUGACCACCCAGGCAGCUGUAACUGAAAGCAUCAAACCCAUGGGAUGGAUCCAGGCUCCAUCUUGAGACAAGCUCUCCAGAUUCUCAGCAGGUUCUGGACCAGAGGCUGGUCAGUGGCCGAACAGGCUGAAGAGCUGAUCCUGUAGGGCAGUGAGAGGUCAAGCUGCUGGGGAAGGGAGCUGGGGCUUUCUGGAAGCCUCCGGACUUUGAUGGGGAGGCCUGGCUGUGGCAUAAUAUAGCCCGGGGAGCAAAGACGGCAGCUGGGUCCUCGGGUCCAUCAAGGGCCCUCAGAGCCCCACAGGCUCAGGCUCCUGCUGGAAAGACCUUAACCCAGAAACCCUCUCCGUCCUGAGGCUUCACCCUGGGAGGAGAAGACGCUAUCAUUCUGCAUGGAGAGCCCCCAGGGUCCAGGGGCUUCCUUUCUUCGAAACCCUCCCCCAAGAAUCUCCUACUUAAAUCCCUAAAUCUAAACUUCAACCUGCAGAUUCCGGCCAGGCUGCGGGUUAACUGGGGACGGAGAAACCUCUCCACCAGGGACUGUCUGAUGAAGGGAUCAGUCAGGAAUUCAUAAAGUAUUUAUUUAGCUGCCAAAGGCACCCCCAGCCCCCGUCUCUUGUAUGGGAGAAUUGAUGCAGAGUUUCCGAGACAAGCCCGCGAUUGCGGCUGUCACCAAACAAUGCCAUAUUUCUUUUCUUCUCUUAAAUUCUAGGGAUCAUUCCCUGUAAGAGGGCAAUUUGUCUGUCAGGCAGGCAAAACAGGGGCCGCUCCCUGCCCUCAUUAAACUGACAGCACGGUUAUUAGCCGAAGACGAAGCCCGCCCUCCAUGAAGCCAGCCACUGUUUUAUGGCGAGCGCCGGGGAGAUAUUUUCAGUAAUUAAUUUGAUAAAUAUAUUAAUUAUGAAUUGAGUUGACAGUACAAUCAGAUUGUCAGCCUUCCAGACAGCCUCUUGUGAUAAGGCUCUGUGAUGAAGUGGUUGGAUUUCAGGCCUGUCAUCCUGCAGGGGGGGGGAUGCAGUGGGGGGGUGCAGUCCGUUAUCGCCUGUCUGCCCAUUCAGUCUGUAAUUUCCUGCGCAUUGUAAUUAAAUGGUAGCUUUCUGAUU